CGAACGCUGGCGGCGUGCCUAAUACAUGCAAGUCGAGCGGACAGAUGGGAGCUUGCUCCCUGAUGUUAGCGGCGGACGGGUGAGUAACACGUGGGUAACCUGCCUGUAAGACUGGGAUAACUCCGGGAAACCGGGGCUAAUACCGGAUGCUUGUUUGAACCGCAUGGUUCAAACAUAAAAGGUGGCUUCGGCUACCACUUACAGAUGGACCCGCGGCGCAUUAGCUAGUUGGUGAGGUAAUGGCUCACCAAGGCAACGAUGCGUAGCCGACCUGAGAGGGUGAUCGGCCACACUGGGACUGAGACACGGCCCAGACUCCUACGGGAGGCAGCAGUAGGGAAUCUUCCGCAAUGGACGAAAGUCUGACGGAGCAACGCCGCGUGAGUGAUGAAGGUUUUCGGAUCGUAAAGCUCUGUUGUUAGGGAAGAACAAGUACCGUUCGAAUAGGGCGGUACCUUGACGGUACCUAACCAGAAAGCCACGGCUAACUACGUGCCAGCAGCCGCGG
rnacentral:rRNA from 1 species